UACGAAGGGGGCUAGCGUUGCUCGGAAUCACUGGGCGUAAAGCGCACGUAGGCGGAUCUUUAAGUCAGGGGUGAAAUCCUGGAGCUCAACUCCAGAACUGCCUUUGAUACUGAAGGUCUUGAGUCCGGGAGAGGUGAGUGGAACUGCGAGUGUAGAGGUGAAAUUCGUAGAUAUUCGCAAGAACACCAGUGGCGAAGGCGGCUCACUGGCCCGGUACUGACGCUGAGGUGCGAAAGCGUGGGGAGCAAACAGG
rnacentral:rRNA from 1 species